AGCGUGCGCAGGCGGUUUGUUAAGUCUGAUGUGAAAGCCCCGGGCUCAACCUGGGAAUGGCAUUGGAAACUGGACAGCUUGAGUAUGGCAGAGGGGGGUGGAAUUCCGCGUGUAGCAGUGAAAUGCGUAGAGAUGCGGAGGAACACCGAUGGCGAAGGCAGCCCCCUGGGCCAAUACUGACGCUCAGGCACGAAAGCGUGGGGAGCAAACAGGAUUAGAUAGCUUGGUAGUCCACGCCCUAAACGAUGCUCACUAGGUGUUGGGGAAGCGAUUCCUUGGUACCGUAGCUAACGCGUGAAGUGAGCCGCCUGGGGAGUACGGCCGCAAGGUUAAAACUCAAAGGAAUUGACGGGGACCCGCACAAGCGGUGGAUGAUGUGGAUUAAUUCGAUGCAACGCGAACAACCUUACCUACCCUUGACAUGUCCGGAAGCCUGCUGAAAGGCGGGGGUGCUCGAAAGAGAACCGGAACACAGGUGCUGCAUGGCUGUCGUCAGCUCGUGUCGUGAGAUGUUGGGUUAAGUCCCGCAACGAGCGCAACCCUUGU
rnacentral:rRNA from 1 species